GGGGGGGCGGGGAACUCCCUCAGCCCGGAUUGCGAGAGGGCGCAGGCCAGGCCCGAGGGACUCCACCGGUGCACG
rnacentral:pre_miRNA from 1 species